rnacentral:rRNA from 1 species
GAGUUUGAUCUUGGCUCAGGAUGAACGCUGGCGGCGUGCCUAAUACAUGCAAGUCGAGCGAACGGACGAGAAGCUUGCUUCUCUGAUGUUAGCGGCGGACGGGUGAGUAACACGUGGAUAACCUACCUAUAAGACUGGGAUAACUUCGGGAAACCGGAGCUAAUACCGGAUAAUAUUUUGAACCGCAUGGUUCAAAAGUAAAGACGGUCUUGCUGUCGCUUAUAGAUGGAUCCGCGCUGCAUUAGCUAGUUGGUAAGGUAACGGCUUACCAAGGCAACGAUGCAUAGCCGACCUGAGAGGGUGAUCGGCCACACUGGAACUGAGACACGGUCCAGACUCCUACGGGAGGCAGCAGUAGGGAAUCUUCCGCAAUGGGCGAAAGCCUGACGGAGCAACGCCGCGUGAGUGAUGAAGGUCUUCGGAUCGUAAAACUCUGUUAUUAGGGAAGAACAUAUGUGUAAGUAACUGUGCACAUCUUGACGGUACCUAAUCAGAAAGCCACGGCUAACUACGUGCCG